UGUUUUUUAGCGUGUACUAUAUAAAACCUUGGACCAGUAGGGGUAGGUUUUACAAUCUUGCACUUAACUGGACCUGUAUGAAUGUGCAUGUUUUCAAUACAUGCAUUAUGAUACAAUGGAAGACAUUCAUGGAUAUUUGCCUUGCAUGACUCUAAUCAUUUAAUAUUGCACAUGUUCAUGAUUCUUAUUUGAUCGGUGCAGCAUUACAAAAACACAUGAAAAUCAGGAAUUUGGGAUUUGUUUAUCGCCUUUGAGAUUUGACUCCUUUAGCUUAACAGCUUAAGAAAGAGGCUUAUGUUUGAUCUAUUGAGCUAAAUUAAUUUUUUUCAAGUCUGACCAUCUGAGUGGCACACAAGUGGUUCAAGUCCUUUGCAGACCCGUUGUUAACAAGUUUUCAAGACAUUUUAUGUUCAGUGUAGCUACCUAACAGAAAACAAG